rnacentral:siRNA from 1 species
CGAAUGACCACUACAUUGUUUG